rnacentral:rRNA from 1 species
GAUGAACGCUGGCGGCGUGCCUAAUACAUGCAAGUCGAGCGAACGGACGAGAAGCUUGCUUUUCUGAUGUUAGCGGCGGACGGGCGAGUAACACGUGGAUAACCUACCUAUAAGACUGGGAUAACUUCGGGAAACCGGAGCUAAUACCGGAUAAUAUUUUGAACCGCAUGGUUCAAAAGUGAAAGACGGUCUUGCUGUCACUUAUAGAUGGAUCCGCGCUGCAUUAGCUAGUUGGUAAGGUAACGGCUUACCAAGGCAACGAUGCAUAGCCGACCUGAGAGGAUGAUCGGCCACACUGGAACAGAGACACGGUCCAGACUCCUACGGGAGGCAGCAGUAGGGAAUAUUCCGCAAUGGACGAAAGCCUGACGGAGCAACGCCGCGUGAGUGAUGAAGAUCUUCGGAUCGUAAAACUCUGUUAUUAGGGAAGAACAUAUGUGUAAGUAACUGUGCACAUCUUGACGGUACCUAAUCAGAAAGCCACGGCUAACUACGUG